ACAGCUGCCUGCUGGAUGCUGCUCUGUUUUCCUCACACUGGAUUGAUCCUGCAUGUUCUUUGUCUUGAGACCUGGACAACAUCGAUGGAAUAGCCUAAAAUGACUGCAGCCUCAGCAAAAAGGCCUUAAUGUUUGCUUCUUUAAUCCACAUUUAGUUCAAGGAGAGGCACUGUGUUCCUCUGAGGGGAAGUGGAAAGGCUAACCCAGUUCAGAGAUAUUGUCACGACUCCAAAAAACAUGCACACUACAUCUCUGGGAUAUCCCAGAGUGAUCCAGCCCAGAUACCUUCAUUUAUGUGCAGCAAGAAGACAGAUGCUACUCAUCAGCUUAAAGGAAAAGCUGUCCUCUCUCAUUCCUUGUCACUGCACUUUUGACUAAGAAAGCAUUGGAAAAUGGUAAUGUCUUCUUAUGGAUAAUGGCUCAUAAUGCUUAUGUUCCUCAAAAACCCUAUGUGCCUGUGUGGAUGGAGCUGAACUGACCUCUUCACAUGUGUUCGAACAAUAAUUAAUGUUGCUGGAGAAAGGUGAGCUGGGAAAAGCUCUCUUUGUAAGCCCCAGGACCUGCUCUAAGAUCACUGAUACUCCUUGCACUGUGUGAAGCAUCACAGAUAUUGCACACACUGCUCAUGGGAGGUGCAUAGAAAGAAGCUGUGGAUUUAAAGCAGGAGUAGUCAGACAGCUAUGAACAGAUUUGCCUCUAAAUGUUAAAGUUUAAACUCUUCAGGAGAUAAUUUAAAUUCCUUUCCAUUUAAAAUGGUGAUGUAUGUGAAUGAAUUCAACCAAGGAAAGCUUUGUAUUUGGGUGACUACUUUUAAUGAGAUCACUUUACAACUAAGGGGAAAUAAAAGUUCAUUCACAUGAA